GACUAAAAACAAAUGAAGCAUAGACCAAGGCCAGAACAGAAUUAAUGAAGACCAUGUUUAGACUAAAACAAAAACAGCUUAUAAAAUGAUAAUUAACACUAAAAUUAACAGAGAAUAAAAAAAACUUAGCUUAAACUUCUCGAAGCUCAGGAAUCUGAAUGCAUCACUUAGAGUAUUUCAGGAACACUAAUUUUGACUUAGAGAGGCCGAGGAGGCAUUCGAGGAACAUAAUCUUGUUUUUGUGGUGAGGAGAGUGAGGGUGACUUAGGGUGUGAGUUUCGUUUGAUUCAGAAGUUGGGGUGAUUUUUGGUCGGAUUUCAAAUCGUUAUUUGAGUCGUUGGACUAUGAUUCGAGGGGAGCUGGUGUUAGAUUUGUGACGAGGGUGGAAAAGAGAUGCUAUGGUGUAUUUUUGGUGGCCAUCGGAGCCAGCGCCGCCGUGGACGGCGGACCAGUCACUCCUUUGGACGAAGAUUCGAGGAUUUUGGCCAGGGUUUGAAAGAUGUGGGUUACAAAAAUAGAAAGAGGAGGUCAAGGGGAUGAAACAGUGUAAUUUUGGAUGCUUUUGGGUGAUCGCCCCUGCCGGCGGACGGUGGAGAGACGGAGGUAGGCGGUGGCGAGUGGUGAGGUUGAACAAGGUACAAGGAAGAAGUUUUUUGUCUCUAAAUUUUGAAGGGUUUC
rnacentral:lncRNA from 1 species